CUUCUCUUUUCUUUCCCGAGUCCUUCUUCCCUGACUCGCGUUUGUUCAGUUCUCGAUUUGGGGAUUUCUUCUAUUCUCUUCAAUUUUUAGUUUAGAAAUUGAGGGGUUGCGAAAGAUUCAAAAUUUAUGGUUGAAUUUAUUUAUUAGUUUUCUGUUUUAAACAUAUAUUGAAGUUGCAGAUAAUAUUGAGGUGAAACUGUCGGAAAAAAGCUGCUGUCCGUCGUUAAUAUCAUCUCCACCAGUGGUGGCACCAUCGGCGAUUUCAUGAUAUCUGUUUCUAUUGCCAAGAGACUAGGAUGGAGGAAAUGCCAAAAGUGUUUGCCACAAUGGAGUGUGUUCAAGGGUGCAAGCACAUGACCUACCUGCUGAUAUAGUGUCUCUUGUGGGGUUUUUUAUUGUGUAAAGUUUAUGUUGGAUACUUACUGAGAUUAAUUUCUUGUUUUGGUCCUCACAAUCGUUGCAAGCAUGAAUUCUGUUACACCCGUGGGGCUGAGUGGAAAAAGAAGAAGGCGACAUGUAAAUGUCAUCUCAUGGUUUCGUUGAAUGAAGGUUUUGUUUGCGAUGGAGGUAUGGUGGUACCUGAUAUGGUUAAGUCUCUUUAUGGUCAUGCUAUGGUACCUUAAUCUGUUUUAAAAAUCACUAGGCGUUAGUCGGGCGGAGAGGGAGCGCAUAGCGAUUAAUCGGAAAAUCGGAUUUAAAUCGAGAAUUAAUCGGGGACUAGUUUUAGGGCUUUUAUCUAUAAUAGAUUACAAUUGUAUAACAUUUGAAAGAUUUAAUCAUAGUCCAGUGGUUUGUGUGA